UUAUAAAGUCAACGGAUUUCCCUGUCAAGGUGAAAAGUUUGCCAGCCCCAAAACGAAUAUUGGUUGUAUUCAAUAAAAUGCAGUCAGCAAGUGAAUACGAGGCGGAUUCAACCGGAUACUCAAGAGUGGGCUGGGAAUUGGGGGAUUGGCCGGAACAGGUUUUCCAAAUUUUUUUUUUAUUAUCGGUUAUAUACUAUUAAUAAGCUUCCGCUGAGCACGCAUUGGGCGACAGUUAUUUAAGCUCGGCCUCAGCUGUGUAUCUCUCAGAUACUCAGAUACUUUUAUAGCUAGACAAAAGCCGCGCAAUUAUUGUCGUUUCAGCAGCUUGCGAGAUUAUUGCAUGGCGACAGGUUUUUGCGAAGUGUUCAAGUGUUUUCGCUUGGCUGUGUGUGCAUUACUAUCUGGUUAUGUAACGUCGAGAAUUUUUCGCCGUUUUUGGCGAUCACGUCUUGACAAAUAUAUAUCACGUGUACCCAUCAAGACGGAUAAUCAGAGACAGCUCUUAAGCAUUAAAUAAGUCAUGUUCGGUUUUGUUUAUAUUUAUUUAUUUUUCUUAGUAACAGUGACUUUAAUAGAAGAAAGAGUUUCAAAAAUUGUUCAAUUAUUUUAUUACCACAUAUUUUCACCUUCAACUUUUGGAAAAACGCAUUUUGGGUUACACAAUCAUGGCCGCGUGUGUGAUACAUCCAUGCUAAUCGAUCACAAGAUAUUGAGAAAAGCAAAAACACACAUUGAACAUACCUCAGACUGCCGCCAAUGUUCUCGUAACUCACAAAUAUUUGUGAAUGCGGUCAAAUCAUGAGCGGAUACUUAGCACAAGUCAAAGUAUUUCAACCACAUGUAGUUGGUAUCUGUAUAUCGGCAUCUUUGUGCCAUUGUAUCUGUGAAUAUGGCUCGUUUAGCAUUGAAGCGUAAAGUGAGCUCAUUGCAGUGCCCACCAGCAGACAUCAUUGAAGAAAAACUUCACGUGAUUUGCAUAAAUUAACCAAAUAUAAAAGUUAGCUAGUUUAUGGCACGUGACGAUUAGAUGAAUAAUGCGGGAACUCACUAAACAGAUCGUUACCAAAUCGUCAGCAGAAUAACUGGGCCAUGUAAAAUGGGUCAAGAGCAAUGUAUAUGGAGUAAAAUGUCAAUUAAAAUGAUCAAACUACCUAGUGUAUUCAAAGGUUUCCAGCUGAUAUCAAACAUAAUCGUUGCAUAACAUGGCCACGGCUAACCUUUUCUUACUUGUUUUUGUAGUGUGAAUAAACCUCGGGGAAUAGAGAAACAAAACAAAAACGAUUCCGCUGAUAAGAAGGUAUAUAAGGUAGGAAUUUCUGUGGCACUGGAAGUUGCAAAUUCCAUUUCAUUACAGAGCCCGUGUGACGAGCGCUUAUCAGCCCAAUUUGCUUUUUGGCGCCGUAAUAGUCAAAUCUCAUUGAUAAGGGCAUGCGUUUUUCAAUUAUUUUUGCCCCAAUCAAUUGCUAAUAUCUCGCACACGUCAUGUUGAGCAGACUUAAAUUUGGAAUCACCAUAAACGCGUAGGAAAUAGAUUUCUCCUGAUAGGAAUGUGUUCGUUUGAAAAUAGAAAAGCAAUGCUAGGCAGGGCCACAUGAAGAAAAAGGGAGUGAGAGAAAGGUGGAGUUUACAGCACGCAUCACUGAAGAUUGACAAUUUUUGUUAGCUCCAGGGCAAUCUCUCAAUCCACUUAUCUCUCUGUUUGCCCCUGCACUUUCCUCCAUUUUUACACACGCUUUGCAAUGCAGGUUGUGCAAAAGUCAGUGAACUGCUUUUAAUUACAAAUCCACGCAGCUGGCAGGCGGUACAUUACAAAAAUAUUUACAAAACGCUGAAAAACUGAAUUUUCCACUUGAUCGAAGUCCGAAACAGCUUAGGAGAAAAUGCACUCUGAAUACGUCUUAUGUUGCUCGCUAAACAAUAAACUUUUCUUAUACAUUUUUAUUCCUUUGGCGUUGUUAUUGCAAAAAACUUUUCUCAUAUAAGACUCGCAGAUCAAACAAAACCAGAAAAUUGCAAAUUUCCUUGCCGUGCCUCAAAUGAAUUUCCAUUUGGCAAUUUUCGUGCCAGUGCUUAUUGCAUUUUUCAAGAAUAGAACAGUUGAAAAUUAUACAAUUAAAAUGAUAAACACGAGUGAAACCGCAGAAACCACUUGUUGCUAAAUUAUGCAACUGACAUUGAAAGAGUCAAACGUGGAUAAAUGCCCCAACCCUCUGAAAAGUCAGUGCCGUGUAAAUCUAAGUGAAAUUAACUACUUCCCGGGCUGCAGGGGAAUCCCUCUUCCCCCAACAUCUCUUCUUGUAUCUGAAAAUUGCAUAAAUCGCUUCCAGAGCGGUGGAAAAUAAGCUCGCCUAGAGUGGCGGGAAAUCAUCUGCGAGUGCAUUUUGCCGUGGUGCCUAGAGUUCAAAGUAGAACAACAGCAACAGCAUUAGCAAAUCGCGUGCCCAGUGCUCUGUAUCUGCGUUGAGAUCUGUUUUCCGAUCCAGUACCUUUUGUUCUAGCCCCCGGUUUUCCACCUUGUUCUGCCCAUUUCCGCAUACGAAUAGUGAGCAGAGAAUGAAAUUUGAUACUUUUUUCCCUCUGACACACUCUGGAGAUACGAUGCUCAUGUAUUAUGUGCAUAAGCAGAUCCGACAGGCGACUUGGCCAACAAGUGGGACCCAGAUAGCGCAGGUUCCCAACUAGAGACUGGGAUUUGGAGCAGCACUUGGAGGUCAGACAAGAACUUACUUAACCUGACGGCAUUUAAUUACACUGGUUUACAGCCAAAAUGUGCCAAGAAGGAGGACCCGUAGAUCACGAAUAAGACGUCAAAAAUAUUUUAAACAGAUACCUUUUUAUGGCUUUUAAGUGGUAACUUAAAGUGAUAAAAGGCAUCUGAGAAACACACAAGCUAUAAUACUCGGCAAUCCAUUCAAUUUUUCUAAGUAAAUAAACACAUAAUAAUUACAUUUAUAAUAAUGUUAAAGUAAAUAUAAUUAUUAAAAUUGUAAUUAUUGUUCGUCGAUUAAAACGGUUUUCGGGAUCUGUGACACCACCAAAAUUAUUCUUGGGACACUUUGAGAGUACCGAUAGUUUUGGCUGUCGAUAGCUGUCCUCAUUCACAUUUUCUAUAUAGUCUUUAUACGAAAAUACAAUCAGAGCUUGACUGCAAUUUAAAUAAUACUGAGUUUACUGUUGAGCCAUGAAAUACUUGUUUAACAGUACGAAGAGAAAAAAUAGUUAAUAAAAAAGUGAAAAGGGCGGAAAAGUUCGGAAAGAAAAACAAACCCAAAACUGUGGCAAAAUCUGAGAGCACCAAGCAAAGGGCUGAGAAUUCCGUGCUGGAACUCGAUGAACUUGUACGCUUGAGUGGGCAAGGUGAGGCCCAUUCAGAAUAUGAAGUCCCAGUUCGAUUUCCGAUUAUCAAAUCGAUGGCGGAGUGUGUGUUGAGUGAGUGGGCCAAUGAAGAACUACGUAUACGACCCGCAGCCGUCUGAUUUUCGAGCGAACGUGUGUGGGCACGGGUAUGCGUACGUUCAUUUGGACUCGAGUGUACAAAUGGACAGUAAUUGACCUUGCUUCUUUUCACGCCCCACACAUUUUCCAAAAGUUUGUUUUCGUUUUUCUUGUGCCUGUGUUGCUUCUUUUUUCUGUACUUUUCUUGGGUUAAGCAACAAGUUUCAGAUUUAAAUAGAACUUUUUUGGCGGUGGUGUUAUAGUGAGAGUUUCACUUGAACUUCACACCCAAUUACUUUAUCUUUCGUCUUUUUUCCUAACAUAGUGCACAAUUAUGCAUUAAUGAGGCAAAGUGAGCCGGCUAUGAAGUCAUUUCAUUUGUUAUGCAAUCAAAGUGCCACAAAAGACUCAGCUUCUCCGUUUCCUUCACUUUCUUGCACGAUUGUUGGCCAUUUCAAUAAUUGAACACUCUUUUUUAAUAAGCUUCAGUGUAUAUA